CACGCUGCCCUAUCCCGAGGGUCCUUGAAUUAGGGGUUACCCAUCUUGGAAUCUGGGGGUGCUCUGAUGCUCUGGGCUCGUAAGCCUGACUUCUGCCCACCCAGGCCUUAACAUUUCAAAGAUGGGUUGGAUUCCUGAGCUCCAGCCCUAGGUCUUGGGGCAGAGAUGACUCACCGCAGCACCCCCUCCCCCUUCGACAAACUGCCGUCUCCGCCCACCCCCAAACAAUUUCAACAAAGCACUUUGGGCGCCACAGCUCUAGGCGCUUUGCUGAGGGCUAGAGGGACUCAUCCCUUUCCCCACGUUCUAGCAAGCUAAACUUCUCCACGCCAGUCUUCAGGCUGGCCUCACCCAUCCUCCAAUUGCUAGAAGGAUGAGCUAUCCAGAUCUGCAACUUUAAGACCCACAAACGGCAGCACGCGGAGGGGGCAGCCGAGCGCUCGGGUGAAAUCCUUGAGGUUCACUCACCCAGCAAACCUCCCUCCAGCCUUCACCAGGUGCCCAGUGCUGUGCCGGAAGCUGAGGGUAGGGGAAGAGCAAGGUACCCUGAGGAAAACCAGGCCUGAUGUCUGCUGAGAGCCAAACCACACCACAGCUUCGUUCUACUUUUCUCCAACAAGGAUGUCUCUAUUUCGUCAUUCCCUUCAAAGCCUGGAUCUUUUCCCUUCCCUCUGAAUGCCGAGGGUGCUGUCUCCAAGUUCCUUUGACUGGAAGGCACAUUCUGUAAUGGGACAUACCAGCAGAGUUGCAGAGAUUCCUCAGAGUUUAUGGCCCCUGGGGAGUUCCUUUCUGGUUCCACAGAUGCUUCACUUGGGAUAAUGUUCUCCAGCUUCACCUAAGCUGCUGCAGAAGAUAUUAUUUCAUUCCUUUUUAUAGACGUUUUAUGGUUUUCAGGUUUUACAUUUAAGUUUUAAUCCAUCUUGAGUUCAUUUUUGAAAAUGGUGAGAGAGAAUUCUGGGAAGGUGGCUGACUGGUAGCAACCCUCAGCAGAAGCUCCUGACCAAAGAGAGAAAAAAUGGAUGGAAUCAGACUCUAUGAAGCCAAAGGUGGGAAGCUGAGCCAAGAAAGAAGUUCGGCAGGCUGUAACUUCAAGGAAGAGCAUUCAAGAAAACAAAUUACAGGGAGGUCCUACUUAUGAACCUAGACACCACCCCACCAGGCAUAAAAUUGAACAGAUAUUUCCCCCCUACAAGUCCAAACUCACAUUCCACCGUUCCCAGUUGCAUGGUGGUCUGAAGUUCUACCCCCUGCAGAGUGCAGAGUGUUUGGUCUUUUCCUGAGAAAUCUGGGCAUAGUGUGGACCACCAACCAUCAAGACGGAACCUGUGACUAACGGGGAAGAAAUGGUGUGGGAAGAAAGGGACUAUCAGUGGGAGGAGGAACAGUCCCCUGGUUAUGAAUUUGCCCGGCCAGUGGUGUUGAUCGUCAGUUUGGCUGUGUCCAGCGGGACAGGGUGCAGAACCCCUGGUUCUGACGGCACCCACAGUGGGAGAAUGGUUGCCCUGUGUGGACUGAGUUCGGCAGGCAGGACUGGUCCCUAGCCCCUUCUGGGCCUGCAAGCAGAGGCUUACCAUGUGUGGACUGAGAACCGAGGGCAAGGGCAUGGUCCCCUGUUUCCAGUGGGCGGUGAGCAGAGGCUAACGGGGGAAGACUGAGACCUGCAGGUGGGGUGUGGUGCCCUGACUCCCACAAAGACCAAGAACAGAGGCUUGCCAGGCAGUGGACUAAGACUGGCAGGUGGGGGCACAGUCUCCUGACUUCAACUAGUCUGGCAAGCAGAGCCUAGCUGGGAGUGGGCUGAGACCAGAGGGUGGGGGCAUGGCCCCUGCCUCCAACUGAGCCUGAGAACAGAAAAGCGGACAACAGUGUGGACUGAGUCUGGGGGUGGGGGUAUCAAUCCCUGGCUACAAUUGUGCUAUCGGAGACCCUUGAAUCCCUCUCUAAUGAGCAGGGUUCACACUGCCUGAGAUAAUUUAAUUGGAAAUGUUGUCUGGGGUUGUCCACUCAGGGACAUUCUGAGAUUGACCUUCAAAGUUCUGUAGCAGAAAAGAAUUGAAGGGUGGGGUAGGGGCUGGGCACCACAGCUGUUUGUAUCUCUUCACAGCUGAGAUUUAAACCUAAUACCGUGGCUUCUAAAAUUCCUCUACUAGGUAUAUAUUCAGAUGAUCAAAAAAUUAUUUUACAACAAAGACAUUUGCACCAGAAUGUUUAAUGCAGCCCAAGGCAUAAUAGGCAAGGCAUGGAAACAGCCCAAGUGCCCAUGAACCCAUGAAUGGAUUAAAAAAUUGUGAUAUAUGUACACCAUGGAAUACUAUGCAGCCAUACAAAAGGAUGGAGACUUCACAUCUCUUAUGUUUGCCUGGAUGGAGCUGUAACAUAUUCUUCUUAGUAAAGUCUCUCAAGAAUGGGUAAAAAAGUAUCCAAUGUACUUGAUACUACUAUGUAAUCAAAAUAUAACCAUCUACACACUCCUACACAUGGCAAAACGUAACUAUGGUCUAGGAAGUAGAAGGGAAGAGGAGUGAGAGGGGAGGGGAGGGGAGGGGACUGAGGAUAUGGGAGGAGGAAGGGUAUUUGGGGGGAACUUGCCUAAGGUGCAUGAUGCAAUGGUACAUUUCAAAACUAUUAUGAAAUGAGUAUAAUUGUGAUGGAUGUGUUACUUAGUUCAAUGCAAACAUUUCACAUUGAAUAUUAAAGCAGCACCCUGAACCCCAUAAAUGCAUCAAUGUACAAAGUUAUGAUUUAAUAAAAAAGAAUUAAAAGAAAAAACAAUUCAACAACACAUUUCAUUUGAUACUGCAAUCCCAUUAUUAGGCAUCUACCCAAAACAAACAAAAAUUUUUAUCAUAAAGAUAGAUUUACAAGUGCCAUGAUGCAGAAACAACCUGAACGCUCAUCAACACAUGAAUGCAUCACUGAAGUCUGGUAUAUGUGUAUCAUGGAAUAGUAUGCGAUUAUAAACAGAUGGAGGACUUACAUCUUUUGUAUUAACCUGGAGAGAGUUGAAAUACAUUCUUCUUAGUAGAGUGUGGAAAGAAUGGAAAAGCAAGUAUCCAAUGUUCUCAAUACUAAUAUGAAGCAGUAGAUGAAGUAAUACACGGCCAAACAAGGGAAAAACUCAAGUUAGGGGGAAGAGAAGGGAGAAAGGGGCCGAUUGGUGUGUUCCCAGUGAAUGGGCACAAUGUAAGGGCACAUGUCACACCUCCU